CGGAAGUGCGCGGACAGCUGCGGCGGGGCCGAGGGCUGUGCGGGAGAGUGUCUGCUGUGCUGGCGCAUCUCUAGAUCCUUUCCUGUUCCAUUAUGGGUGUGAGAGGUUUGCAGGGAUUCGUGGGCAGUACCUGCCCACAUAUUUGUACAGUGGUGAAUUUCAAAGAACUGGCAGAACAGCACCGAAACAAGUAUCCUGGAUGUACUCCCACCAUUGUGGUUGAUGCCAUGUGUUGUCUCAGAUACUGGUAUACUCCCCAAUCUUGGAUCUGCGGUGGCCAGUGGCGGGAAUACUUUUCUGCUUUGCAGGAUUUUGUUAAGACUUUUACAGCUGUUGGCAUCAAGUUGAUAUUCUUCUUUGAUGGCAUGGUGGAGCAGGACAAGAGAGAUGAGUGGGUGAAACGAAGACUUAAGAACAACAGGGAGAUCUCUAGGAUUUUCCAUUACAUCAAGUCACGCAAAGAGCAGCCUGGCAGAAACAUGUUCUUCAUCCCCUCAGGGCUGGCCAUAUUUACACGAUUUGCUUUGAAGACGCUGGGCCAGGAAACCCUGUGUUCAUUACAAGAGGCUGACUACGAGGUGGCGUCUUACGGCCUCCAGAAUAACUGUCUGGGCAUUCUUGGAGAGGACACCGACUACCUAAUUUAUGAUACCUGUCCCUACUUUUCAAUCAGCGAGCUCUGCCUGGAGAGUCUUGAUACCGUCAUGCUCUGCAGAGAGAAGCUCUGUGAGAGUCUGGACAUCAGCCUGGCAGACCUCCCUCUUCUGGCCUGCUUACUUGGCAACGACAUUAUCCCGGAAGGCAUGUUUGAAAGCUUUCGGUACAAGUGCUUGUCUUCCUAUACCUCUGUAAAGGAAAACUUUGACAAAAAAGGGAACAUCAUCUUAGCUGUAGCAGACCAUAUAUCUAAAGUUCUUCGCUUGCAUCAAGGUGAGAAAAAGCUAGAAGACAUGUUACCUUUGGGACCAAACAAAGCUCUUUUUUAUAAGGGUGUGGCAUCAUAUCUUUUGCCAGGACAGAAAUCUCCAUGGUUUUUCCAAAAACCUAAGGGUUUAAUAACUUUGGACAAGGAGGUGGGAUCCAUAAGUUCAGACCCUGAAUCCAAGCAAGAAGUUCCCAUGUGUACAGACCCUGAAUCCAAGCAAGGGGUUCCCGUGUGUACAGACCCUGAAUCCAAGCAAGGGAUUCCCAUGUGUACAGACCCUGAAUCCAAGCAAGAAGUUCCCGUGUGUACAGACCCUGAAUCCAGACAAGGAGUUCCCGUGUGUAUGGACCCUGAAUCCAAACAAAGAAUUCCUGUGUCUACAGACCUUGAUUCCAAGCCAGGAGUUCCCGUGUGUGUAGAUCCUGACUCCAAGGAAGGAUUCCCCCUGUGUACACACCCUGAAUCCAAGCAAGGAGUUCCUGUGUAUACACAUCCUGAAUCCAAGCAAGGAGAUCCCAUGUGUACACACGCUGAAAUCAAUCAAAAAUCACCUCUAGGUGCAGACCCUGAAUUUAAGCUAGAAGCAGCUGUAUGUACAAACCCUGAAAUUAAACAAGAAGACCUUGUGACUAUGGAGCCUGAAGUCAAACUACAAGUGACCAUGGUUUCAGACCCUGAAAUCUUAAAGGUUGCUAGAGCACAUCACGUCCAGGCAGAGAGCUACCUGGUGUACAACAUCAUGAGCAGCGGGGAGAUCGAAUGCAGCAACACCCUGGAGGACGCGCUGGACCAAGCUCUGCCCAGCCAGGCUUUUGUCUACCGCCCAGUGCGCCAGCGCGUUUACUCCCUCCUGCUGGGGGGCGGCCAAGAUGGCACCAGCACCUGCCCCGCUGUCAAGGAGUGGUUUGUGUACUCUGGGAACCCACUGCGGCACCCGGACCUCGUCAGGCCUCUGCAGAUGAACAUUCCAGGAGGAACACCUAAUUUGAAGUUACUGUGGCUGAACCAAGACCCAGGGUUACAAGUCCGCCGUGUGGACGCGCUCCUCGGCUGUUUCGACCUUUCCUCCUCAAGAGAAGAGCUGCAGGCAGUGGAGGACCCCUGGAAGGCAUUGUGCUGCCUCUUGAUCUACCUCUUCGUACAGGUGGACACUCUUUGCCUGGAGGAUCUGCAUGCUUUUAUUGCUCAGGCCCUGUGUCUCCAAGGAAAAUCAACUGUGCAGCUCGUGGACCUACAGCUUGACUACAUCGACCCCCGGGCGGUGCAGCUGGGCUCCCUGCUGGUCCGCGGCCUUACCACUCUGAUCUUGGUCAACAGCGCGUGCGGCUUCCCCUGGAGGACCAGUGACUUCAUGCCCUGGAACGUGUUUGACGGGAAGCUCUUUCAUCAGAAGUACCUGCAGUCGGAGAAAGGGUACACUGUGGAGGCCCUAGUGGAACAAAAUAGGUCCCGGCUGACCAAGUUCCACGCGCUGAAGGCGGUCGUGUGCAAGGCUUGCGUGAAGGAGAACCGGCGCAUCGUCAGCAGGCAGCACUGGCGCGCUCCUCAGCCAGGCCGGUGGGGGAGGCCGGGAUCCGGCUCCCACAGGACGAGCUCCGGGUACAGCCGGGCAGGCCGCGGACCGCACUGGAGGGAUCAGGGUCCAGUCCUGUUGAAGCAAGGAAACCCUAAUGGCCUCAACGGCCAGAGCCUGAAGCUGCUUCAGAGGUGCCCUGGUUUGAAGCCAGUCCCUCCUCGGGGGACAGGACCAUGGUGGUGACACCAGAGUCUGGAGGUGGUGGAAAUAGACAGUAUGAGCCUGACCAUUGGAGAAGAUACUCAUCCUCCUCCGGGUGGUCCAACUGAUGCCCGCCUGCUGGAUCAGAACAACCCUCUCACGGUCGGAGAAAGAAUCAUUUUAAAACGUGGACAUUGAGCAUAAAGCCAGUGCAUCUUACUUACCUACAUCCAAGACAUCUAAUAAGAUACGCUGUAUUUUCACCCAUUACAGCCACUCGGUACAGAUGUGUUGAAUGAGGUGACCUGGACAUGGUUUGUGUUUUUAACUCCACUCCACUGUGCCGUUCACAUUGGCACCAGAGCAGGCACGGCUCCUGGAAACCAGGCAGCAGACGGGGCUGAGGGUGCCCCAAGUGCAGGGAUCUCCCUUCAUCUCCGACAGUUUGUCAAUGCAUAGACCUUCGUGGAGAGAACGGAGAAACGACGAAUGCCUGUGUGAGCGAGGGCUUCAGUGUGGCCUGGUCUGUGCAUAUCUGCAUAACACAGGCCUCCGCCUCUCCCCAGGGGGUGGAGUCAACCCCAGAGCGCAAGGCUUCGGGAGCUGCCCUUGAGUCCCUUGUGCCUGGGUGAAACAUGCGACUUCCAGCAAGUUUCUUCCUGAGCCGUUGGCCCCGGGGCCUGGGAUGUGCAGGCCCUUGUGAAAGGUCACCGCGGGCCUCACAGCACCACUGAGGUCUCUGUUCCUUGUUUCAACGUGUCGGGAAUGCCACGUAGUCCCUGGUCCAGGAGCCCUCAGCUGGUGAGUGGGAACGACUCUUUUCUUCAGGGAAUAUGGCCAGACCGCCCUCGUGUGAAGAGCGUGACAUCUGAGAACGGGCAGCGCUCACAUGGGACUGGGACGUGGGGACCCACGUCAUGUGCAUGGUUCUGUGGCAGUGGUUCAGACGGUGUAGCUGGGCCGGUCCAUUGCCCUUUGUGCUCUGAUGCUGAUCUGUAAGUGGCUCUGCCACUUCUCAGUGGUUAGUCUGCGCUCACGACCAGUGGAGACCUGCUUCUUUGUUCCUGGCACUCAUUUGGCCCUGUCGUUGAAGUUCUACAGCUGGAAAGGCCUCGGGUGCUGGAAGGAGUCAGGCCAGGUCUCCUGUGGGCUCUGUGCCACCCUGCUCACGUGUAAGUCUGUGCCCCCUUUAGAGGAAGGAGAAAGUGGUGAUUCCUGUGUCAGUCUGUCAGUUGUUACCCCAGUGUUCUUUAAACAUGUGCAAACGUGCAUUCGGACCUUAUGCUCAGAGCGCUUUCUUAUGCAGCUUUCAUUCCAACACGUCAUAUAAAUAAAAUGAAACUAGAUUAUGAAUCGAGUAGUGUUGUUACCACAGUCCCCAGCAGUUCCCAGGGGGCCAGCCAGCCCCGUGUCCCUGAAGAGAGCUUUGUAUGAGACAGGCCAGCCAGAGUCCUCUUCUCGGGACCUGCUGUGCACAGAAGGCACAGACGCUGGGCGGAGGGUGCCCACGACGGGAGCCCUGUGAGCGCGCCCCUUCCUUGAACUUGCAGGGCGCAUGACAUGGCUGAGCCCACGGUGGCGUCUGGUGCACCCCCUGCACACUGCUGACUAUGUGUCAGCCGUCUUCUAAGGGACUAGAUUUCAAGAGGGACAUCUGCCGUAUCCAUGAAUUUCUGCAGUAAUAAUGACUUCAUGUGUUGUGUAGUUGAAAAUAAAGGAAAAGAAAGGAUGA